ACACACAGGUGACACAACGUCCUCGAUGUUAAAUCGAGAAAUACUUUACGCCUUUUCACCAUCAAAACAUAAAAAGAACGACGCAAAUGAGAACAUUUCACAUGAAAUAGCAGUGAAAACUUUUUUUAAUCCAUUUAUCUUUCAGACUUUAAUAGAUUACUGUACCUGGAGCGCGGCGGUUAUUCCUGAGAGUAUUAAACCUGUAUUGAAAAUAUUUGAAUUUUAUGUCCCAGUUGACGACAGGUUUUUAACCAUUACUAUUAAUGAUCCUAUCGUUACCCCGAAGAAGGUUCCACAGCCGAAACGUUGUGUUUUUUUUCUUCUCUUUUCAGCAUGGAAUAAAACUAUUACUCGUUCCUUAAUAACAGUAUAGUCUGCACUGUACUGCUGUUCAUCCCGAAGCCCCGUUAACCCCCCGGACUGCGGAAUAGUUAUUGAAAUAAUGAAGUUAAAUCCCCUACAGAAUAUUAAAAGCAACAUUAAAAAACGUAUUCCACAUUGACAAAUAGAAGUAACGAGUCGCAAUGCCGCUGUUGAGCCAUCUUCAGGUCUUAAGUGUGACGCCUGAAGAGGCCAAACAGUCCAAAAUUUUCCCCCUUUUACUUUUCAGUACACUUGACCUGUACGUGGUCUAUUCGGCUGACGCAGCGCUCACGCACAGUGCUGGAACCGGGCAGUGCCAGCAGGCCACUGCGACGCGCAUGCGCCCUGACAGCCAGUCCCGUUCGAUUACUCGGACCGGGCAGCACAGAAACACAGACCCAUAAUCCGACAGUUGCACGAUGAGGAAGCGACAGGAAGGAGGAUGGGUGUCAAAUAUGUGAUGAGUCAAGAAGGAGAUUCUUUUCUCUGGCAGAAGAAAAAAAAAAAACGAAAAAGCUUCCAGAGGCAGAAACGAAAAGCAACAGGCGAGACUCCUUGCCUUAUUUAUGGGGAACUGACACCUGGGGAGUCAAAACCCAUACAGGUAGUCAGAGGUGCCAGAUUCGGGUCCCAUAGGUUGUGAUUCUCAGUCUUGGUUCGGGGUCUGUUUUUAUUUAUUUUUUGUUGCAUCUUGGCUCUUAUACACCAGUGUUGAUUGGAGUCUGUAACUAGUGGCUUGUUUCAACUUUUUUUCUGCACUUAGGCCUUGGUGUCCAAUAUACCAAGAGAGUGGUAGAUUGUGUGGUCUGUUUUUCGCUCUGUACGAGUUCUUCAUUGCAGGGCAAUGUAUUUUAAUGUUCAGCCCGAGGCAUUGAUUGAAAGAAAAAAACGUUUCCUGCUCUUAAAAAACGACUGAGAUUUGUCGUCUGUGUGUACCUUGUGCACAUCAGUGAGUGUCGGGACUGCCCUCCUGCAAAAGGUGUUUCCUCAGAAGCUAGUGAAAUGAGAAAUGAGUCAAAUGAGGAGAGACUGCUUCGAGGUAGGAGUGAGGGCGUUGCUGGAAACCAAGGACUGAGUGCAGAAAUCAUUUAUCCCAGCAGGCAAAUCAGAUCCAGGCACGGCCUGCAGCAUCAGCGGUGAUUAGGUACCGUGCUGGAACAGAAACCAGCAGACACCGGCUAACCAGGACCAGGAUUAAGAACCACAGAUUGAAUGCACUAAUUUUUCAGAAACGUUUCCAAAAACGCUCAGAAGACCUCGAAACUAGAGCUUCUGCAGCCAGGAACUUUCAGAGAUUAUGGAAUUGAACUUUCAGAUGACCCACAAGAAUAUGCCAGCACAAAUAAACCAAUGAUGAUGCACACGAAUGGAAAUUCGGUGCCAGUUCUAAGUAGACAUUAAUGCAAUCUGUCAGCUCUGUGAAUUUAGCCCUCCUACAAACGGCACAAACGAUGAAAUCCACCACAUUCGUUACCUUAGUGCUGCUUUCGGUCCCCAGAUAUAUCGCCUUCUUCCUCCGUGACCCUGCACGGCGUCUUUGACCGCGAGCAACCCCGUCAGGAAAGCUGAAACACUACAGUAUAUAACUGGUGGGAGGUAUCGUGAAUAUCCUUGUAACCGAGUGCACAGCUGUCGUUCAUGAGCCGAGCCCGCCCCCAGAGUGACCUUCCUCAGCGGACACGCCCCGUCCACCUGUUCCACAGGUGCGCCCGGCAAGAUGGCGGCGGGGAGAGUUUCUGCAGAGUGAGGACGCCGAGAAGAGUCUAAAGAGUCCGUUUGAGCGUGCUCUCGAAGUUUUAAAAGUCUGGUUUCAGCGUUCUUAUACUACCUUUCAUGUGAUUAAAAAUGAUUUCAAGAAUGGACCUCUUAUGAAAGUGUUUUUCCAAGUUCUGCGGCUCCUGGUUCUCUGCGCUCCGGCGAUCUCCUUUCCAGCUCCACUCCAGCAACUCGACGACCGUUGGCCAAGUUCUUCUCGACAAUGUGUGCUUUUUGUUACAUUUGAUUUUUGUUACCAGUGGCUUGAUCUGUAAUAUCCCGAUUCAGUGCUGUAUUU